UAGCCGUAAACGAUACUCGCUAGGUGUCGGCCACGGUGCGACCGUUGUCGGUGCCGUAGGGAAGCCGUGAAGCGAGCCACCUGGGAAGUACGGUCGCAAGGCUGAAACUUAAAGGAAUUGGCGGGGGAGGCACCACAACGGGUGGAGCCUGCGGUUUAAUUUGGACUCAACGCCGGGAAGCUCACCGGAUAAGACAGCGGAAUGAUUGCCGGGCUGAAGACCCUGCAUGACCAGCUGAGAGGUGGUGCAUGGCGUAGUCGUGU
rnacentral:rRNA from 1 species